rfam:Apaloderma vittatum contig29445, whole genome shotgun sequence.
GGCCAGUUAGCUCAGUUAGUUGAGCGUGGUGCUAAUAACGCCAAGGUCGCAGGUUCGAUUCCUGUUCGGUCCC